rnacentral:rRNA from 1 species
UACGAAGGAUCCAAGCGUUAUCCGGGUUUAUUGGGUUUAAAGGGUGCGUAGGCGGGCUAUUAAGUCAGUGGUGAAAGCCUGCAGCUUAACUGCAGAAUUGCCAUUGAUACUGAUGGUCUUGAGUACACUUGAGGUGGGCGGGAAUGUGUCAUGUAGCGGUGAAAUGCUUAGAUAUGACACAGAACACCGAUGCGAAGGCAGCUCACUAA